CUAAUCGUGACCAGGACACAAAAACUUAAGUCAAAAAGAACAAAGCACAAAAUGAGAAAUGCUGAAUUGACUGGUCGUUAAUACAGAUAUUUGGUAGAAAAGAAAUCAUGCAUGUCGGUGUUUGUAAACACUUACGUGGCAUGCAUCUUAGUCAACAAGACUACAACCGUCAGUCAAAUUUUCCUAUAAAUACAGCGGAGUUGUCUGUAAUCUCAGCAAGUUUCUACAGCAGACUUCAUUUCAUUCACGAGGCAAUUUAAUCCAAGCCAUCAUCCUCGUCUUCGAGUCCUGUUCGGCAUUUAUUUUACUUCAGAUUAGCUUGGCACGAUGGUGAAAUCUGCAAUCUUCGUUUCUAUCACCGUUCUCUUCUGCUUGGUGAUCAGCUCUAAGGCUCAUCCCCGUCCCCCGGGACCACCCGGAUCACCACACGAUAGACCGGGACCCCCUCCGGAGAGAGACGGGAAUUUUACUUUGGAGGACAUCGAUGAUGCCAACUACACCAUAGACGAUGACGAGGAGCACAACAUUACUCGCGGUGGCCCUCAUAGUCGGCAUGGUAACCAUUCCCAUCGCGACAGAGAGGGCAACAGCACUAGGACAGAAGAGGGCAAUGACGACGAGUCAAAACACAGACGUCAUCCUCCCGCUCACAGAUUGAGGAGUGGCCAGUUCAUGUCAGAGGAAAGUAACGAGAAUGACGAGAGAGAAAGUGAGGAACGUCAUGAAAGCAGAAGAAUGAGGCCCCGCUUUCAAAGUUUCCACAGUUGGGUUCGUCCACGGGUCUUCAGGAAUUGGACUUCUCGCCGUCUCCUUGGCAACAGUCAGUAACAAGAAAUUGCAGGUCAUCUGUCAUUUUACACUAGGUGAAACGUAGAUGGCAUGUUGAGAUUAUGCGCCUUUUAAGACAGACUAAUACUUUAUCCCUCACCGAAUCUAUAAACCAUGAAGUCCGUUAGACUUUUUCUAACAAUAUUUUUGAAAUUAUAUAUCAUGUUUCAAUUUACAAAUGUAUGCCGGGUGCAUCUGAUGUUAAUAGUUUGUAAUAAAUGUUCUGAUUGCGGGACAAUCGGAUCAAACUUGUAAUAA